UUUCUUGCAGAUUUUAGCUUCUCCCUUGCCUGCCGCCUUUCCCGUUUCGGCUCGGUGAAGCUACCUAUGGGUUGCUGUUCAUUUAACAAACGGUGAUCCGGAUAAACAUGUUCACUUCUUCGCCUGGGCAAACUUUCCAGCCCCCGACCCACUCAUGUCACGAUACCUUCCCGUGUCCAAGUCCGGCUCUCUGCUCCCCACUUUUUUUUUUUUUUUUUUUUGAGACAGAGUGUUUCUCUGUCUCCCAGGCUGGAGUGCAGUGGCGCGAUCUCAACUCACAGUACCCCCUGCCUCCCGGGUUCAAACGAUUUUCUUGCCUCAGCCUCCUGAGUAGCUGGGAUUACAGGCGCGCGCCACCACAGCCGGCUAAUUUUUAUGUUUUAGUAGAGACAGGGUUUCACCAUGUUGGCCAGGAUGGUCUCCAUCUCUUGACCUCGUGAUCCGCCCGCCUCGGCCUCUCAAGGUGCUGGGAUUACAGGUGUGAGCCGCCGCGCCCGGCCUCUUUGCUCUUUUAUACUCUCAGAAGCAAUGAGUUCUGGUUAAAAAAAAGGGCUCGAUAGACGGAAAAAAUGAAGGCUUAAAGAACUGACAACAAAAUAUUAACAUUUGGCUUGUGGAAUUCUUACACUCUCGUAAGCAGAAAAAACAAAUGUUAUGGCAAAAAAGUGUCUCAGACAAAUCCGUCUUGGGGGGAAAAAAAUUAAAAGAAUGAGAAAAACAGACUUCGGAAUAAAUAGACCCAAAGGAGGAAGUAUUGAAAAUGGCAAGAUUCACUUUUACAAACUUAUUUGGAACCACGGCAGAUGGCCAGGGCAGGGAUUUUGCAAGGCAGCUCCAGUUGAGCAGUUGAUUUCUCACCGCCCACCCCCGACCCCACCACUAUUGAUCAUGAGGUGCUUUGAGGGGUCCGGGUUUGGAGGACUGAAACACCGUGGGAUCUUGGAACAGCUCUUCCUUGUUGGUGAUCCCUUAUUAAGAAGCCCUCCAGCCUGACAAUGCUGAAGCCCUGGAGGUUGGAGCCACUCAGGAGAGGAAACCAGAGCACAGAAAGGUUAAGUGAAAUGCCCGAAGUCACACAACUGAUAAAUGGUCAAAUUGGGAUCCAAGCCCAGGCAGCUCUGAGUCAUUGACAUUACUCUGUCCUAGAAGGCACUCGACAGAAAGGGGGUUUGUGCUUCCUCCAUCCCACCCAGCUUCUGAAUGGUCCAGGCCCCUGACUGCAUUGCCACGAAAAGGCCUCAGAAAAAUGUCUGUGCAUGCAUCAAGACUGCAAGCCAGAUCCAAAAUGUAUCAGGUCUCCUUUAUGGGGAAUAGUGAGAAGCAAAUGGAAAUAGAUUGUCUUCCUGCUUGGGACUGUUAACACAGCAGCC
rnacentral:lncRNA from 10 species